rnacentral:rRNA from 1 species
UGGGGAAUAUUGGACAAUGGGGGCAACCCUGAUCCAGCCAUGCCGCGUGAGUGAUGAAGGCCUUAGGGUUGUAAAGCUCUUUUACCAGGGAUGAUAAUGACAGUACCUGGAGAAUAAGCUCCGGCUAACUCCGUGCCAGCAGCCGCGGUAAUACGGAGGGAGCUAGCGUUGUUCGGAAUGACUGGGCGUAAAGCGCGCGCAGGUGGCCCGUUAAGUCGGCUGUGAAAUCCCCUGGCUCAACCAGGGAAGUGCAGUCGAUACUGGCGGGCUCGAGUCCCGGAGAGGGUUGUAGAAUUCCCAGUGUAGAGGUGAAAUUCGUAGAUAUUGGGAGGAAUACCGGUGGCGAAGGCGACCGCCUGGACGGGUACUGACACUGAGGCGCGAAAGCGUGGGGAGCAAACAGGAUUAGAUACCCCCGUAGUCC